rnacentral:rRNA from 1 species
UACGUAAGGGGCAAGCGUUGUCCGGAAUUAUUGGGCGUAAAGCGCGUGUAGGCGGCCAGAUAAGUCCGCUGUGAAAUCUCGAGGCUCAACUUCGAGCUGUCGGUGGAAACUGUCUGGCUAGAGUCCGGAAGAGGAGAAUGGAAUUCCUGGUGUAGCGGUGAAAUGCGCAGAUAUCAGGAAGAACACCCGUGGCGAAGGCGGUUCUCUGGGACGGUACUGACGCUGAGACGCGAAAGCGUGGGGAGCGAACAGG